rnacentral:lncRNA from 1 species
GAAGGCGAAUGGCAUUAACAUAUUCCUUCGGAUUCUGAAUUGCUUUCCCUGGGAGUUGCCCUGGAGGUUUUGGAGCAGAAGUAGAUGCAGAUUGUCCCUCUAAGUAUCGGACUUUGGAAUUCAAUGCCUCUACUUUGACAUUCAGGUCAUUGUAGCUACAGUCCAGCUUAUUGUGUAAUUCAGAUAUCUUCUUAGCAAUCUCCAUGGAGCCAGAUGCUUGUCCUUCGAGAAGCUGUUGUAGCAUUUGCUUCAUGUCAGAAUCAGGAGCAGCAGGACCUUGGUGUUGCUGAGGUGCAAACCCAGGUGGUGGUUGCUACUGGUAGUUCCCCUGAAAUUGUUGCUUGGGAGCAAAACCUUGGUUGUAGGGAACAAAAGGUUUAUUCUGACCCUGCUGU